UGUACAAUAAAUAUAUUAUACACGGCUCACUAAAAUAAUUAGUUACGCCCCUGUACUACUGAUUACUUAAAAUUCAAGUAGUAUUUAUGUAACCUUUCUGGAAACUCCAGGUUAUUGUUGAGACUCGCAUUUGAACCCCUCGCCGGGGCAGAUCGUCAAAAGCUUCCUAACGAGAAUCAUCUCUAAUCUAUCGACGCUCCCGCUAUUCGUAAAAAGGCCGCAUUUUACCGGCUUUUUUUGCUAUCGUUUUAUACCGCUCAGAUAAUUCAAUCUGCUCAGUAUUAUCGACGAUGAUUUAUUUAGCGUAUUAGUGAGUGCCUUACAAAUGAACCAAAUGGAUUAUGGAAUUCAAUCAGAGCUCUGAUGUGACACGUCAUCAAGGAAUAAAACUUCGCUGGGAAGAGCCUAUGUACCAGGCUAUACAAAUCAAAUACCAUCUAGCCGCCGUUUUGCACCGGUGACCAUGAAACUACAGUAAAGGCCUGCACCCGAACACCUUCACCGUCAGUCAACAGGGCUACGUGGAGCCGAAGUUCCUCCAAGACCAGAAGACAGCAACGGAGAUCCCUCGACGCCUCGACGAUCGCAUAAGAUAAGUAGCCUCUUGCAGUUAGAUGUUCGCAAAGUGCUGCUGAAUGAACUAUUUUCUUGACAACAAGUUUUUUUAUUGUUAAUAAAUUUCAAUUUUCCUUUAUUCAAUAUUUUGAAUGGCGAUAAUGUGUAUUUAAUAGAUUUAAUAAGGUCAAUAGAUGAA
rnacentral:misc_RNA from 1 species